rnacentral:rRNA from 1 species
CGUAUCACCCAAGACAACUUUACGGAGUUGACGAUUGACGGAGCGAAGCGACGUCAAAGCGUUCAUUAAAGUCGAGUUGGCUUAGGGAUACGUUCGUUGGGUAGGGGAGCGUUCUGUAAGCCUGUGAAGGUGUGUCGUGAGGCAUGCUGGAGGUAUCAGAAGUGCGAAUGCUGACAUAAGUAACGAUAAAGCGGGUGAAAAGCCCGCUCGCCGGAAGACCAAGGGUUCCUGUCCAACGUUAAUCGGGGCAGGGUGAGUCGACCCCUAAGGCGAGGCCGAAAGGCGUAGUCGAUGGGAAACGGGUUAAUAUUCCCGUACUUGGUGUUACUGCGAAGGGGGGACGGAGAAGGCUAUGUUGGCCGGGCGACGGUUGUCCCGGUUUAAGCGUGUAGGUGUGUGUUCCAGGUAAAUCCGGUUCACUUUAACACUGAGGCGUGACGACGAGGCACUACGGUGCUGAAGCAACAAAUGCCCUGCUUCCAGGAAAAGCCUCUAAGCAUCAGGUAACACGAAAUCGUACCCCAAACCGACACAGGUGGUCAGGUAGAGAAUACCAAGGCGCUUGAGAGAACUCGGGUGAAGGAACUAGGCAAAAUGGUGCCGUAAC